rnacentral:lncRNA from 1 species
GGGGGAGGAGGAAGCAAGAAUUAAGCAGAGAAGGCAAGCUCCUUUCUGUUCAUCUAACUCAAAGCCAUUCCUGCUUACCCAAGGAAGAUGAGUGAACAGUCAGCACUCAGUUUAUAAUACGAGCAUGAUGAACUGAUACAUCUCCAGCCAAAAAUGGUGACCCAAGUGACCACCUGGUAAUUACUUCAACAGCAGAGCGACUCAUACAGCCGGCAGUCCACUUUGUUCUUCUAUAGAUCCUGCCUGUGGUGUUGGAUCUAACAGCUUCUUCCCUGACCCAAGAUUAUGAAGGAUUUCUCCUGUGUUCUCUUCUAAAAAUUUUACAUUUAGGUACAUAAUCCAUUUUGAGCUAAUUCUUUUAAAUAGUGCAAAGUAUGGAUUGAAGUUCUUUUUUUUUUUUUUUUUUGCAGAUACAUAUUUAAUUUUUCCAGCACCAUUUGUUGAAAAGACUAAUGUUCUUGCCUGAAUAGCCUUUGCAUUGUUGUUGAAAAUCAUGUUCACACAUGUACACAUUCCACUGAUCUAUUUGCCUCUUUGUGAAAAUACUACUAUUUUGAUUAAUAUAUAUUUAUAGGGAGUCUUAAAAUCAUAUCUUAAAAAGAUAGUGGAAGUUAUUUAACCUUACUCUUGCUUUUAGAAAUUGUUUUGGAUAUUCUAGAUCUUUUGUGUUUCCAUAUAAAUUUUAUAAUCAGUUUGGCAAUUUAUUUAAAAUAUUCUUCUGGGAUUUUGAUGGACAUUACACUGAAUCGAUGGAUCGCUUUGGGGACAACUGACAUCUUAACAAUAUUGAGUCAUCUAACAUAUGAUCAUGGAAAUUGCUCCAUUUAUUUAGAUCUUCUUUCACAUCUUGAAGCAGUGUUUUGCGUUUUCAGUGUAUAGGUAUUUAAUAGAUUUAAAAAUAUGAUCCCUAAAUAUUCAAUGUUUUUGAUGCUAUUGGAAUUUUAAAAAAUUAAUUUCUGUUCUGAGGAAGGAAAAUAAUAAAAGAUUAAACAAGAAAAAUAAAAAUAAUCAAAAUAAAAGAUAAAUCAUUGACAAAUAUAAUAAAAAA